UGUAGUUUUAGAAAGACUUGUAGGAGGAUUGAAUCCUCAUCAAACUUACCUCCAUAUAUAAUACAACUAUAAUUAUGAACAUACAAUUUUUUAUUUGGUUUGAAUUUCCUGAAAUUAAGAAGCAUGAGAUGUUUUGACUUUCAAAUCAUAAUAUCUAAAAACAGAGUAAUCCAGUGCUCAUUUAUGUCACUCUGUCUUACUGAUCUCAGUGUCGGGAACGACAAUUUGAUCAG
rnacentral:misc_RNA from 1 species